rnacentral:rRNA from 1 species
AUUGAACGCUGGCGGAAUGCCUUACACAUGCAAGUCGAACGGCAGCACGGGAGCAAUCCUGGUGGCGAGUGGCGAACGGGUGAGUAAUACAUCGGAACGUGCCCAAUCGUGGGGGAUAACGUAGCGAAAGCUACGCUAAUACCGCAUACGAUCUACGGAUGAAAGCGGGGGAUCGCAAGACCUCGCGCGAAUGGAGCGGCCGAUGGCAGAUUAGGUAGUUGGGGGGUAAAGGCUCACCAAGCCUUCGAUCUGUAGCUGGUCUGAGAGGACGACCAGCCACACUGGGACUGAGACACGGCCCAGACUCCUACGGAGGCAGCAGUGGGGAAUUUUGGACAAUGGGCGCAAGCCUGAUCCAGCCAUUCCGCGUGCAGGAUGAAGGCCUCGG